ensembl:lncRNA
UAUAAAGAAUUUUCUGACUGUUUUGUUCUAGAAAAUUUGAAGAUGAGACUCUUUGGGUGAUAGUAGGAAUUAUAAAAUUUAAUAUGUCCUGUUUUGUGAAAAAUAAUGAAGCAGGGAUUAAUUAUCACUGAUGUUAUUUUGGCAAAGUUCCAUUCCAGGGCAAUAAAAAUGAAGGAGAGGAGGAAAGGUCAGGAAAGAAAGCAAAGAAUGGAAUUCUGAAACAAUGGGAGCCACAGUUUCACAAUGAGUCACAAAGAGACAGACACAAUAACCAUUUCUUGAGCAGGAAGUGUAUCAGUAGGAAGCACAAGGAAUUUAUCUACCGAGAUCCCAUCUAUUCUUCCCUGCUUGCUGAAAACCUACCUGUUUUUAAAGUUUGUGUCACAGAGAUGAAACUGUUCUGUACUUCCAGGUUGUAUCAUCCAGUGUAGAAUUUUCCUGGAGUGAAGAAUUUACAGAAGAAGGGGCUAGAGACUAUAAGAGUGAUUGGUUGAGCUCAGAGCAUACAUGUAGUUUACCGGCUGGAGUCAGAACAAGUAGUUGAAGAUCUAAGUAGAAGUUGAACUUGAGAAAAACUGUGGAGUACAACAGAUGGUCUCACAAACGAUGCAUCUAAGAUCACCUAUCAGGAAGAUACACGGGGAAAGAAGAAAGGCCAUAUGAGGAUACAGCAAGAAGGUAGCCAUACACAAGCUAGGAAGAGUCCUCUCCAGAAUACAAACCAGCCAGUGCGUCAGUCUAAGAUGUGCCAGCUUCCAAAACCAUGGGCAAGCUUUUACAUUCCUCUCAUGACCAGAAAGAGGAGGCAUAUGCUUGGGCUUUUUUGUUUGUUUUCCUUCUCAUGUAUUCCUGAAUCUUGCUGGCUUCUUCAUCUGUAUGUCUAGGUAUAUAAGGCAAAAGGAAUGUCUUCAUGCUGUGCAUAGAAUAUUCGGGUCCCUCCAGAACUCUUACAUUGAUAUCUUUACAUCACAACAAUGGAGCCCUCAUGAAUAGGCUUAGUGCUUUUCUACUUCUAUGAGUUUGUCCCCAUUCUACCACAUAAGUUUACAGCAAGAAGAAAGUCAUCAGAGAGAAAACUCAUCUUCAACAGACAUCAAAUUUUCUAUUUUAGUCCUAGUCUCCAAAACUGUGAGAAAUGAAUUUCUGUUGUUUAUAAGCCCUUCGGUUUAUGAUAUUUUGUCAUAGUACACCUUAGGGGCAAAAACAUUAUCUAAUUUAGUCACAUAAAAUCAGUUUCCAAGUCAGAAAUACCAGAUCAGGUGUGACUAUUUAUCAUACCACAGAUCCAACUGUUCACCAAGUCUAGCUGAUUUCCUUUUAAAGCAUCUUUGUACUUCUGCUACCACCUCUGUUGAGAUGGGGCAUGUAGUAUCUCUCGACCAGCAGCACUUUUUUUUCUUCUUCAGCAAUAGAUACCUAUUUAUUUGAGAUUGUUAUGUGGUUGUAUUUUACUGAUUGCUUAGCUUCUCAUGAAAACCUGUGUGUAUGUCCUAGCCUCUUUGACAAGUAAGUAAAAUCAAAUUCUUGAAGCUAAAUUAUUGACUAGUAAGAUACAACUAGAAAUGAUAUGAGUAAUUUGGGAAUGUGUUCUUAAGAAGGACAUGAUGUGCUUUUCUCAUAUUAUUUUUUUUUUUGACCAUUUAGAGUAUAGAUGUGAAGGAUGGAAAUAGAAUAAUCAUUUUGAAUCAUAACUUCAUUGCCCAAAGUUGAGAAUGAUAAAGCAAUGAUAUAGAAAAAACAUUUACACCCUUGUCAACUGAGAAACUAUUUUGAUAACCCUAAAUUGAUAAUAUCCAUAUUUCCUUUUAUUUAAAAUAUGUUAUGUUGAGUCUUAUCAUUUGCAGUUGAGUAAAAUCAUAAAAAUCAUAACCUGUUAACUGCUUUCUUUCCUGACUUUAUUUCUCUGUAGAAGAAAUGGUGCUGUAGACCAUCCUUUCCGAAACAUAAGCAUCAUCAUGAUGUUCUUGUAUUUAACACCUACCACUUACAGAAAAGUCAGAAUUAUUACCAAAGUUGUAAAGGUCCAUCAUAUUUUAAUAUUCAGGUCCUUUGACAUUCUAGCACACACUACAGCAUGCCUAUACCCUAUCUUUUAGCUACCCCGAAAUACUUGUUUCCUAAACAUACUAUGCUGCUCAUUUCCACCACAUCUUAAACUGUAGCAAGAUGAUCCUAUGAAGAUCUAAGUUAGAGUCUGUCAUUCUUCAGUUUAGAAAUCUCCAGUGAUCCCUUCUCUCACUAAGAGUAAAAAUCAAAGUACUCACAAAAGCCUUUACCUGAAGCCUUACUGAUUUAUGACUCCUUUAUAUCUCCUUCAGCUCUCCUGAUUAGUCUGUUCUAGGUCUUCAUUGCCAUCUUUGGAAUCUGUCAUAUGCUUCAACUUCAAGGACUUUUUAAGUUUUAAAGUUUUUUUUUUCACCUGGAAUGCUGUUUCUUAGUUGUUUUUUUUUCUCAAAUCAGUUUUUCAAUGAGAUUUUCUUUGGCCGUCCCAUCUAUAAUUAUGAUCUCUUUUUCCUUGAACCAAUUCAAACACUCUUUUUUUUAAAUGCAUAACUUUAUUAUCAAAC